rnacentral:tRNA from 1 species
GGAUUCAAAAGGAAAGCUGCUAACUAUCCAAAAGCAAUUUUGUUAAAUCCCCC